GGACGGAAGAUCUCUGCCAUAAUGACCCACAUGGGACAUGAUGCCGGCGAACUGUCUGUGUAUGAACUUCAGCGACUUGAACAUCUUUGAAGAUUUCACAAGCAUGUGGACAUGCAGCAGAGGAUCUCCGGACUCGGGAUGCAAGUGAGGCCAAAGCAAGAUAAUGAAGACCUUGAAUGCAGACAGGCCUAGGCAGACACUGCUGAGAAGACCAUGGGCAUCUACACAGUCCGGACAGAGGGUGAUGGUCUAGGUGAUGCAUGUUUUGAAGAUGUCUGUGUGGCACUGGACGGUGUGAGUUCUCCAGAGCCUGCGGAGUGUCGGCCAUGCAUGUGUUGGGCUUUAUGAACGAAUCUAUGCACCAACUUGAGCUAUCCAAAAAGACUGCGAAAUAUACAUACAUUUGAGGGUUACCAGAAAGUUCUGAUGGACCUGUACUCAAGCAAGCUUGAAAUAGCUCCUGUGAUUCAGUGGCAUACACGCCUGUUAGACUCUCACUUCGCUUCCGCUCACACUGCCGCAGUGGCAUUGGUUGUGACCCGUAGAUGGUCGACCAGGGGGAAAAAAACUAUAA